UUAAAGAUGAGCUUGCGCCACAUUAGUUUGUUGGUGGGGUAAUGGCCUACCAAGACGAUGAUGUGUAGCUGGACUGAGAGGUCGAACAGCCACAUUGGGACUGAGACACGGCCCAAACUCCUACGGGAGGCAGCAGUAGGGAAUUUUCGGCAAUGGAGGAAACUCUGACCGAGCAACGCCGCGUGAACGAUGAAGUAUUUCGGUAUGUAAAGUUCUUUUAUUGAAGAAAAAAAUAGUGGAAAAACUAUCUUGACGUUAUUCAAUGAAUAAGCCCCGGCUAACUAUGUGCCAGCAGCCGCGGUAAGACAUAGGGGGCGAGCGUUAUCCGGAAUUAUUGGGCGUAAAGGGUGCGUAGGCGGUUAGGAAAGUCUAUAAUUUAAUUUCAGUGCUUAACGCUGUCUUGUUAUAGAAACUACCUUGACUAGAGUUAGAUAGAGGCAAGCGGAAUUCCAUGUGUAGCGGUAAAAUGUGUAAAUAUAUGGAGGAACACCAGAAGCGUAGGCGGCUUGCUGGGUCUUGACUGACGCUGAGGCACGAAAGCGUGGGUAGCAAACAGGAUUAGAUACCCUGGUAGUCCACGCCGUAAACGAUGAGUACUAAGUGUCGGGAUAAAACUCGGUACUGAAGUUAACACAUUAAGUACUCCGCCUGAGUAGUACGUACGCAAGUAUGAAACUUAAAGGAAUUGACGGGACUCCGCACAAGCGGUGGAUCAUGUUGUUUAAUUCGAAGAUACACGAAAAAUCUUACCAGGUCUUGACAUGCUCUGCAAAGCUAUAGAAAUAUAGUGGAGGUUAUCAGGGACACAGGUGGUGCAUGGUUGUCGUCAGUUCGUGUCGUGAGAUGUUAGGUUAAGUCCUAAAACGAGCGCAACCCUUGUCGUUAGUUACCAGCACGUAAUGGUGGGCACUUUAACGAGACUGCCAAUUAAACAUUGGAGGAAGGUGAGGAUUACGUCAAAUCAUCAUGCCCCUUAUGAUCUGGGCUACAAACGUGAUACAAUGGCUGUUACAAAGAGUAGCUGAAGCGCGAGUUUUUAGCCAAUCUCAAAAAAGCAGUCUCAGUUCGGAUUGAAGUCUGUAACUCGACUUCAUGAAG
rnacentral:rRNA from 1 species